AAAGAAGGAAAACAACAGACAAUUUUUUCCAUCAUAUCUUUUUUGGAAAUAUGAAAAGAGAAAAACAUUAAAGAAAAGAAGGAAGAGGAAAAAGAAGAAAAUAAAAGAUGAGAAGAAGAAAGAGUUGAGAUACGAAGAGGGGACAUAGCAAGAGAAGAGAAGAAGAGGAAGAGCAUGAGAAAAGAAAGAAGGGAAGACAGAAAUAAAGAGGAAGAAAACAAAACAACAAAAAAGAAAAAUAAUAGAAAAGGAGGAAAAGGAAGAAAAGAAAAUGGCAUAGAUAUGAAGAAAGUAACAGAUAAAAAGGAAGAAAAAAAGAACAAAACAAUCUUCUCCCUCUUUUCCUCUCCUUCUUAAAAAUAGGAAAAUAGGAAAAAAUAGAAAAACGAGGAAAUAGAGAAAGAAGGGAGAUGAAAAGAUGAAAAGAAAAAAAAGAAAAA